rnacentral:rRNA from 1 species
AACGAACGCUGGCAGCAUGCCUAACACAUGCAAGUCGAACGAGACCUUCGGGUCUAGUGGCGCACGGGUGCGUAACGCGUGGGAACCUGCCCUUAGGUUCGGAAUAACUCCCCGAAAGGGGUGCUAAUACCGGAUAAUGUCUUCGGACCAAAGAUUUAUCGCCUUUGGAUGGGCCCGCGUUGGAUUAGCUAGUUGGUAGGGUAAAAGCCUACCAAGGCGACGAUCCAUAGCUGGUCUGAGAGGAUGAUCAGCCACACUGGGACUGAGACACGGCCCAGACUCCUACGGGAGGCAGCAGUGGGGAAUAUUGGACAAUGGGCGAAAGCCUGAUCCAGCAAUGCCGCGUGAGUGAUGAGGGCCUUAGGGUUGUAAAGCUCUUUUACCCGGGAUGAUAAUGACAGUACCGGGAGAAUAAGCUCCGGCUAACUCCGUG